AGGGGGACACUUUUACGUGUGACACAUAUGAUUUGGUUUAUCGAUGUAUUAUAAAGUUGUUCAAGACGCACAUCCAGCCAUAAGAAAGCCAUAACGUCAUACAAGGACUGAAAGGUGACGUUUGCAACGGUAAACUCUUUUUGUGUGAAGGAACAUUCUUCUUUUUGAUCAUUUUUGUGUUUGUGACGAAGCGGACUCAUUCCCUGUUUGCGUAAAUGCGGCCAGCGAGACACAUCAUGAGCAAAAUCAGCCCUCUGCUUCAUUGUUAAGUAUCCCCCUUUAGAACUGCAGCGUACUGAUGAC
ensembl:lncRNA